GUGGGAAAGGCAGCUGUGGGUUUCACUGAAAUGAAAUCUGUACCAUCAGGUGCUGUCAGGUGGAAAUCGCAGGCUUUGUUACUCAAAGCAUGAACUACAGACCAAGAGCAUGCACGUCCCUGGGAAAUUAUUAGAAAUGAAGAAUUCAAGCCUACUGAACCAAAUCUGCAUCUUAACAAAAUCUCCAGGUGAUUCUUAUGCACAUUAAAUUUUGAGAAGGGGCUUCUUGUGGGUCUCUCACAUGCAGACAUGAAGGAGAUUAUAGUGAACCUGACAGCCUGGUGCUCCAAGCUUGGGACCAGUGUGGUAGACAGACUGGUGAGUGUUCUAUUUGGUAUUGCUGAUGGUGUAGUCCGGCUCAGAAAAUCAG